rnacentral:tRNA from 1 species
GGAUAUAUGUCAGAGUGGUCUAUUGUGUUAGUUUUGAAAGCUAAUGUAUUCUUAUACCAUAGGUUCGAAUCCUAUUAUAUCCG